rnacentral:rRNA from 1 species
UUCGGAUUUACUGGGCGUAAAGCGCACGUAGGCGGAUCGUUAAGUCGGGGGUGAAAUCCUGGAGCUCAACUCCAGAACUGCCUUCGAUACUGGCGAUCUUGAGUCCGGAAGAGGUGAGUGGAACUCCUUGUGUAGAGGUGGAAUUCGUAGAUAUUAGGAAGAACACCAGUGGCGAAGGCGGCUCACUGGUCCGGUACUGACGCUGAGGUGCGAAAGCGUGGGGAGCAAACAGG